CUCGAACAGACAUGCGAGACCUCUACCAACUGAAGGUUUCGUGAGCGCACUCCUUUGCCAAGAUCUUGGUGAAUAGUCUUUCACUGUGCAAUUUUAUCUUAGAAAUUGUUUUACGUUUGAUCAUGAUUGUGCUUGGCUGGAUGUUUUUUGUUGGACUUGUGUGUUACAUGGGCACGUUUCCAGAGUUGAUGCCUCCAACUCUGAAGUGGCAGGAGAGGUGGCCUGUUCAGGAGAGCAAAACACAACUGAGGAGGCGGGCUUUAGGAACCAUGUGGAAGGGAUAUAAAUAUCCCCCAGGAGGGACUCCAGUGGAAGUAAGCAAGGAUGAUCCUGGUGAAGUAAUGCAGCUGUGAAGCUCACCUGACCAGCUGUACAGUUCCUGUUGUUGGUUUCACAUAAAGUAAUUGCACA
rnacentral:lncRNA from 1 species